GACGAACGCUGGCGGCGUGCCUAAUACAUGCAAGUCGAGCGGACGGAUGGGAGCUUGCUCCCAGACCGUCAGCGGCGGACGGGUGAGUAACACGUGGGCAACCUGCCUGUAAGACUGGGAUAACUCCGGGAAACCGGGGCUAAUACCGGAUAACUCUUUCCCUCCCAUGAGGGAAAGCUGAAAGAUGGCAUCUCGCUAUCACUUACAGAUGGGCCCGCGGCGCAUUAGCUAGUUGGUGAGGUAACGGCUCACCAAGGCGACGAUGCGUAGCCGACCUGAGAGGGUGAUCGGCCACACUGGGACUGAGACACGGCCCAGACUCCUACGGGAGGCAGCAGUAGGGAAUCUUCCGCAAAGGACGAAAGUCUGACGGAGCAACGCCGCGUGAGUGAUGAAGGUUUUCGGAUCGUAAAACUCUGUUGUCAGGGAAGAACAAGUACCGGAGUAACUGCCGGUACCUUGACGGUACCUGACCAGAAAGCCACGGCUAACUACGUG
rnacentral:rRNA from 1 species